CACCGCCCGUCACACCAUGGGAGUUGGGUUGACCCGAAGGCGCUGCGCCGACCUCGCAAGAGGGGCAGGCGACCACGGUCAGUUCAGCGACUGGGGUG
rnacentral:rRNA from 1 species